GACGAACGCUGGCGGCGUGCUUAACACAUGCAAGUCGAACGGAAAGGCCCUGCUUUUGUGGGGUGCUCGAGUGGCGAACGGGUGAGUAACACGUGAGUAACCUGCCCUUGACUUUGGGAUAACUUCAGGAAACUGGGGCUAAUACCGGAUAGGAGCUCCUGCUGCAUGGUGGGGGUUGGAAAGUUUCGGCGGUUGGGGAUGGACUCGCGGCUUAUCAGCUUGUUGGUGGGGUAGUGGCUUACCAAGGCUUUGACGGGUAGCCGGCCUGAGAGGGUGACCGGCCACAUUGGGACUGAGAUACGGCCCAGACUCCUACGGGAGGCAGCAGUGGGGAAUAUUGCACAAUGCGCGGAAGCCUGAUGCAGCAACGCCGCGUGCGGGAUGACGGCCUUCGGGUUGUAAACCGCUUUCGCCUGUGACGAAGCGUGAGUGACGGUAAUGGGUAAAGAAGCACCGGCUAACUACGU
rnacentral:rRNA from 1 species